ensembl:lncRNA
GCUUAUAUAUAUAUAUAUAUAUUUAUAUUUAUAUUUAACUAUAUGUUUUGGGCAUAGCUUAUAUAUACCCUUAUAUUUAUAUAUACGCACCGAAUGUAUUAAUGUAUCAAAUUAUAGUAACAGUAAUUUUAACAUUAAUACAAAUAUGUUGUAUAAUUUUAGGAAAUGAAGUUAAUGAAGAAAUACAUGCAUUCACAUGCGAUGCUGUUUUUAUUUAUAAUGAUAAGGAGAAUGUAACAGUUGAGAAUAAUGUGAAAGAAUUUAUGAGAAAUUGGUAUUUUGUUAUAUAUAAAAUCGAAAAUAGUAGUAUUUAUGUUUUGCCUGAACAUUUUAAUGGAUUAUCCGUUUUUAUAAAAAGUGAGGAAAAAAAUUCUGAACAUGUUAAGGAGAAAUUGUUUACUGAGUUGGUGAGUAAAAUAUAUAUGCCUGAGGUGUAUAACAAUAAUGGAAGUGGUAAUAAAAAGACAUUAAAUACUUUCAUGGAUAUGUUACUAAAAAACAAAAACAGUUUGUAUGUCCACAGUAAACAUUUUGAGAAAUUAUAUGCCGAAUGUAAUGAACCUAACGAUUUUUUUAAUAAAAAAAAUGAACAAAAUGGGUUAAGGUUUGAAUAUUUUAACAAUAAUACCGUAAGUAGAAAUAUAAACAUGAAUAAAAAAAAAAAAAAAAGCACAAAUACGGAUGCAGAUACGGAUAAAGAUACCGAUGCAGAUACGGAUAAAGAUACGUAUGUAAAUACGGAUAAAGAUACCGAUACAGAUACGGAUAAAGAUACCGAUACAGAUACGGAUAAAGAUACCGAUGCAGAUACGGAUAAAGAUACCGAUACAGAUACGUAUGUAAACACGGAUAAAGAUACCGAUGCAGAUACGGAUAUAGAAAGUCAUUAUUUUAUUAUUAAUAAAAACUGUUUAUCACACAAGUAUAUUUUAUUUGAUUGGCUUAGCGAUAUAAGUAUGAAAGAAAAUGUAUUUAACAAUAAUCCCAGUAAUGGUAAUAAAAAAAAUAGUCUCUUGAAUAAGUUAGGAAGUGGUAAAACUAAAUUAACUACGAAUAAUUUUAUCUGGAGUUUUUUGUUUGUAUCCCCAAGUGAUCUUAUACAAGUACUUUUUAAAAAAUAUAUAAAACAUUUUUUUUUUUACCUUUUAAAAAAAAAAUAUAAAAAAAACGUUUGGUUGUUAUUUGAUUUCUUUAUUACAAAUAAUGUAAUAAAAAAUUUGUAUAUAAAAAAUUAUGUUCAGAAAAGGCGAGUAAGUAAUGGAGUAAGUAGUGGAGUAGGUAGUGGAGUAGGUAGUGGAGUAGGUAGUGGAGUAAAUAAAAAUACAAUGAUCACAAAACAUGUGUUUACUGUUUCUUUUAAUGUUUAUACUAGGAAUGAAAAAGUGAUUGAUGGGUUGUCAAUAUUUUUUUCCAAAUUUGUUUGUAAUAAUAAAAAAAAUAACACAUUUAUUAUGAACAGUUUUUUUAAUAAUAAUAUUUAUUUGUAUGAUAGAGAGAAUAAAAAAGAAGAGGUUUAUAAAAAUUGGCUAAAUAAACAGAAAGUAAAUAAAUUUUUAUUUUUGUCGUUACUUUAUAUGUAUGUUCCGACUGUUAAUGUUGUAAAAAAGAAUAAUACUAACUAUAACAUAAGCAAGAACAAAAAAAAAAUAUUUUCUUGUUUUGAAAAAGAUAUUAAUACAUUUCCUUUUAUUUUUCACCAUGGUAUUUAUAAUAAAAACAAUUUUCUAUUAUAUGAUGCAAAAGAAAACGAACUAUUAACUAAGGUUGAUGGUGGUGUCGGUGUUGAUGAUGGUGUCGGUGUUGAUGUGGUGAAGAUAUGUACAUAUAAAGAAAUAAAAAAUGAUGGAAUGAAAAAAGAUAUUAAAAACAUUAUAACUGUUGAAUAUAAAAAUAGAAAAAAACCUGAACAAGUCAUAUUUUUUGGGAAUAAUUGUAAAUUAGUUGUAUUGGAUUUGUUUGCAAAUAAUAUUUCUAUUUCUAAAGAUGAUCAAACGGAGGUUAUAAUAAAUGAAGUUAAUAAAAAAAAAGAAACUAACAGUAGUGGUAGUAGUGGUAGUAGUAGUAGUAGUGGUGGUAGUAGUGGUAGUAGUAGUGGUGGUAGUGGUAGUAGUAGUGGUGGUAGUAGUGGUAGUAGUGGUAGUAAUGGUAGUAGUGGUAGUAGUGGUAGUAAUGGUAGUAGUGGUAGUAGUAGUGGUGGUAGUGGUGGUAGUGGUGGUAGUGGUGGUAGUGGUGGUAGUGGUGGUAGUGGUAGUAGUAGUAGUAGUAGUAGUAGUAGUGGUGGUAGUAGUGGUGGUAGGAGUAAUGUCGUACUACGAUAUAUAACUAAUACAAGUAAUGAGAGCCCAAAAAACCAAUCCCCACACAUUUUAACAAAGUAUGAAUAUAAUCACAUUUUUUUUACUAAUAAAAAAAAUAGUUUUUCUAUUUUUUCUUUUUUAUGGAAUAAGUGUUAUUUCAAUAGAACAUAUUUUUACAAAUAUUGUCGUACGAAUAGGAAAGUUAAAACAUACGAGUUUUUUACUACCACAACGUUAGACCACUGUUACGAAAGUAACAAUAAUAUAAAUAAUAGUGAUAUAAAUAAUAGCAUAUAUCAACAAAAAAACUUAUUAACAUUUUCUUAUAAUAUAAAAGUAAACAGUAGGUAUGUUUCUCCUUGUUAUUGUAAAUAUGAACCGAUAAAAAAAAAUGAUAAAAAUGAUGAACAUUCAUGUACACCAUACGACGUUAUAUUUGUCAAUAAUUCUAAGUUAUUUUUACAUUGUACACAUGAAAAAAAAAAAGAAAAAAAAAAAAAAAGCAUAAAUAAAACUUUGCAGAAAAUUAUAAAUGUUCAUAGAUUUAAUAUCUAUGCAGAUACAACACAUGUUUAUAUUAAAAAGGAAAGUAGCAAUGGCAAUGGCAGUGACAGUAGCAAUGGCAGUGACAGUAGCAAUGGCAGUAAUCGUAACAAUGACAGUAACAGUAACAGUAACAAUGUGUAUAUAACACACACAAUGGAUAUGUAUAUAUACUUGACAGAAAUUUCAUUUGAUUUUUAUUUUGAUAAGACUAAAAAGGAUGCAACGUUGAUUACUAGUAAUAACGAAGACAACGGUAUGAAAGAACAAAAAGAAGAAGAAAGAAAAUUAUUUUUUAAAAAAGAUAAAAAUACAAACUAUGAUUUUAUUGAUACGUAUAAAGAUUAUAUAUUUAUAAGAACUAUAGAUUGUGGGAGAGAAAAAAAAGGAUAUAUAUAUAUAUUUAAUUUGAAUAAAAUGUAUGAUAAUAGUAAAUAUAAACACAGUGUUAUAAAAACGAAAAGUGUAGAAAAAAUAAAUAUGCCAAUAUAUUAUAAAUUAAAUUAUAAAAAAAGUUAUGGCGUUAAUAAUUUUUAUAAAAGUGAUGAUGAUAUUAUUUAUGUUUAUACUAUUCCAAGAGGUUAUCACUCUUUGUUUUUUAUUUUAUUUACUUCUGUUUUCGUUAUAACUUUAUCAAUUUUUUUCACAUUAUACUUGAGUUUAAAGUUUGUUGUAUGAAGCAAAUAUGUUUUGGACAUUUGUUUUGUAUAAACCUACGCUUGUUAUUCGGUACAAUAA